AUGGUCGGCAUGGGCGGCUUCGGGUGCGUCUACAGGGGCGCCCUCCGCCUCCCCGGCGGGAACCCCCACGGCACGGCGGUCGCCGUCAAGAAGCUCAACCCCAACGGCGGCCAGGGACACAAGGAAUGGCUGGCCGAGGUCCAAUUCCUCGGCAUCGUCGAGCACCCGAACCUCGUCAAGCUCGUCGGCUACUGCGCAACGCAGACCGAUCAAGGGCCGCAGAGGCUUCUGGUCUAUGAGUUCAUGCCCAACAAGACCCUGGACGACCACCUGUUCAACCCAGAGCACCCUGUCCUCCCAUGGGACGUCAGGUUGCAGGUAGCAUUGGGUGCUGCUGAAGGGUUACUGUAUCUCCACGAGGGCCUUGAGCUUCAGAUUAUAUACCGCGAUUUCAAGGCUGCAAACAUACUGUUGGAUGAGGAGUUCAGACCCAAACUUUCAGACUUUGGAUUAGCAAGGGAGGGGCCAUCCGAAGGUCAAACCCAUGUAUCUACAGUGGUAAUGGGAACCUACGGCUACGCAGCUCCAGACUAUGUCCAGACAGGGCAUCUCACCACCAAGAGCGACGUCUGGAGCUUCGGAGUGGUAAUGUAUGAAAUCCUCACGGCUCGAUGCUCGGUAGAGAAAAAACGCCCCAAGAACGAACAGAAGCUCCUGGAGUGGGUGAGGCGGCACCCAGCCGACAGCGAACAGUUCGGCAAGAUCAUCGACACAAGGCUUGAAGGGAGAUACUCCAUGAGAGGAGCAAGAGAGAUCGCCAAGCUGGCCAACAGCUGCCUUGCAAAGUAUGCAAAGGACCGCCCCGCAAUGGUGGAGGUGGUCGAGAGGCUGAAGCUGGCAAUGCAGCACAAGGAAUUGGAUGGUCAGGAUGUCCGUUCACUGGAAGAAAGCUCGCUUCUUCAUGAGGCACCAACGACACCACCCAUGGAGGAUGAGGCUGCGGUGUCGGCAAGGCGGCGGAUGCUUCAUUUGGCUGCCCUAGGUGAGAAUGCAAAUGCUCAUGCAAGGAGAAGGUUGAUGCUCAUGAGGGCAGCUGCUCCUCGGACGUGUACCGUGCCAUCGUUGAGCUCUUGA
rnacentral:rRNA from 1 species